CCUUCCUCUGUGUCUCUCUGCUUCCAGCUGCUAUGAUCUGAGCUGCUUUUCUCGGACACACCCUUCCACCUCACCUCAGACGCAGAGUAAUGGAGUUGGCCAACCAUGGACUGAGACCUCUAAAACUGAGCCAAAAUAAACUUUUCCUUCUCCAAGUUGUUAAUGCACAUAUUUUUGUCACAGCAACAAAAAGCUGACUAGCACUUACCCCAAAUGGAGUUGCCUAAAGCAACACAAAUUUAAUGUCUUACUGCUCUGGAGUUCAGAAGACUGAAAUGGAUCUCACUGGGCUAAAAGGGAGGCGAGAACAGGGCUGGCUCCUUCUGGAGAUGCCAAGGAAGAGUCUGUUUCUGUCUCCCUGCCUGUUCCAGCACAGAGCACCCACAUCCCUCCACCUCUAGAGCCAGCAACACAGGGCGGAAGGACUCCUCUGACAGUGCCAUCCUCUGGCUUGGUCUCCAUCACGACAUCAUCUGGUGUGAACACACCCCCCACCUCCCUCUUUCACAUGAGGACCCCUGUGAUUACACUGGACCCGCCCAGAUAGUUCAGGACAAUCUUCCAUCUCAAAAUUAGCAGGUGAGUGACCUCAACCCCCCUCAUCAUGUGAUUUAACAUACUUGUGAGGCCAAGGGUCAGGCAGGGGACCUCUCUGGGGGACAUUAUUCUGCCUACCACACUUGACAGGUGGAUGCAGGUCAAAAGCGGGACAGGGCAGCCAUCCCUUUUAUGUGGAAGGAGAAGUGGCUCAGGAUUGGGACACGCACACCCUUGGGCAGGUUGCUGUGUUCCUUGGAGCCUCCCUGUGCAUGCGGGGUGCGUGCUUGGAGAGUGUGCCCUUGGUAGGGGAACACAGAGCCAAGGGCGUCUGCACCGGCUCGCGCCCGUGUCCUCCUGUGAGCUAGAAGGCAGAGCCAUCUGCUGGGGGAGAGGGUGCAGGUUUGGAAAAGGUGCUGGGGGAGGAGCCGAGGCGCGCGAGACGCAGCUGACCCUGGGUGCCGUGGCCUGUGGGCACCACGUCCUUGGUGUGGGCUUUCUUCCACCGGCAUAGAGGUGGGAGGGGGAGGAGACAGGUGCUACAAAAUCCCUGGCUUGGGUUUUUCCGGAUGAGGAGGGCGGAAGGACAAGGGCCAAGCAGUUGAGGGCUCUGGCAGAGAAUGGCUGAGAGAUGUCCCCUGUGGUCAAGAGGCCUGGCGGUGGGGAGCCAGGGGCGCUGAUGCCGUGGGAAAGUACAGGAGCCGGGAUCAGGACAAGGUCAAGGGAGAGAGGGGCGGAGGCGUGAGAGGACUGGCAGCCUCGGAAGCUGUGGUCAGGGAGUGGGUUCACGGAGAGCAGUUGGAACUGCCCCGGUGAUGACAGGGCCCAGGGCGUGGGCAGCCACAGUGCAGCGGAGGUGAAGGUCACCGGCCGGGGAGGUGUGGGAAGGGACGGGCAGAUCUGGCAGCCCCCUGGAGCCUUGUGUGCAGGGUGUCUGGCUUCUGUCAGCCCGUGACUCACAGUUGUGCUUUUCGCCCGCACCUCCGCCCUCCACGUCUGCUGCUGUGUCCUCUUUUCUUGCUGGUGUGAGAACCAUGGUCCUCCCCCACGAAGCCUCUGCCCAGCGGAACGUCUGUUCCAAACCCUCCUCACUUUAAACCCCCCACCAUUGCCCCCGCCCCCCUGUCGUCCACCUCCUCCUCCUCGUGGCUGGCACAGCGUCCAUCAUCCCCAUGGGCCAUAUGGACCCUCAUCAGUGAUUGUGUCCAUGGGUCCACAUCCCCUCCUUCCUUCCUCCUUCCCUCUGUCUUUCUGUCUCUGUCUGUCUGUCUCCCUGCCCCCAUUCUUCCUUUCACUGUCGCUCCAGUGCUGAGGGCCUGGCACAAGCUGGGCAAGCACCCACCACAACUGCCCCCAGCCGAUGUCCACAGUGUUUAUUUACAGAGUGAAAAUCCUGCCUAGGUGGGCACCAUAGCCCUGAGCAGAGUGCUGAGGAAGGGCUGCCCCGGAGGUGGGCCGCGGUGCAGAGGACAGAGGGUGGGGGAGCCCUCGGAGAGACACAAGUGGCACGGCUUUGUCGUCACCUGUAUUGGGUUCUAGGCUUGGCUCUGCUGGCCAUGGUGGGGGACCUCAUGUCCUCUCAGCCUCAGUAAGUCAGGGAAAACAAUACCCAACAGGGGCAUUAUAAUUAUCAUGUAAAUAUUAGUUGAAAUUAACCACGAUUCAUAGCUCAAUGCCUAUUCUCACCCACAGGGACAUGUCCCAAGACCCCUGCGGAUGCCCAAAGUCACAGAAGUAUGGGAUCCCAUAUGUAUCAUGUCUUGUUCCUAUACAUACACACCUGUGAUAAAGUCUAAUUUAGAAACUGGGCCCAGUAAGAAUAUUGGGGCACAGUGGUGGCGCACACCUAUAAUCCAGCUAUUCUGGAAGCUGAGGCAGGAAGAUGGCAAGUUUGAGGCUAGCAAUUUAGUGAGGCCCUGAGUCAAAAUAAAAUAAAAAGUGCUAGGGAUGUCGCUCAAUGGUAGAGCACUUGCCUAGCAUGUGUGAGGCCCUAGUUCAAUCCCUAGCAGUGAAAAAAAAAAAAAAAGUUAACAAAAACUAAUAGUAAAUCGGAACAAUUAUAACAAUAUGCUAUAAUAAAAGUUAUGCAAAUAUGGUAUUUUUCUCUCAAAACAUGUGAUGAGAUAAAGGGAAGAUGCAGGCAUUGUAAACAGCCUUAGGCUACUCCGUAAAGGGCAUUUGAACAUAGCACUGCCAUGUGGACAGUUGAUCUGAUGACUAAAAAGUCACUAAAGGACUAAGAGUGGGUAGCAUAUACAGUGUGGAUACACUGGACAGAAAAAUGAUUCACUUCCCAGGCUGGACAGAGCAGACAGUGUGAGAGUUCACCACACUGCUCAGAGUGGCAUGCAGUUUAAAACUAUGAAUUAUUUAUUUCUGGAAUUUUCCAUUUAGCAUUUUCAGGCUGAAGUGUUAGUAUUCCCAUGUUUUCAGGGAACCGAAGCCUCAGAAAGCAAGAUGGGGAGCGGGGGAAACAACCCUCCCUUGUGCUGGUUCCCUUCCAGUAAGCAUGCCCACGGCGCCUUCCCACAUGCACUGGCUAUGUCAAGCUUUACUCCACCCUUGAUUAGCUUCUGUUUCCUCAUCUGUAAAAUGGGUUGUUAGCAUCUGCUUUACCCACUGCCCAGGGCUGUUGGGAGAACAAAUAUGGACAUGGAGAACUGUUUCAAAUGGGGGUGGUUUAAUCUCAGGCAAGUUGACAAACACUGCCCCAGCUUCCGAACACAGUGCUCCUGCCAUCAUGGACCCCUGCGGUUGGGGCUGUGGAGAAAGCUCACUUCGUGUCACAUUACUCACGCCACUCAGGCCUUCAGGUGGAGGUUUGUCCAGGAGACUUGUGGGUAAAAAGGGCUCUGGAGUCAGGAGGCUCAUGUCCACACCCUGCUUCCAGCACUGGCCACCGGCUGCACCCAAAAGGUGGGUAUGGAUCAUGGCUGGCAUGAGCGCUCAGCAAAAGGGGGCGGUGGCCAGUGCUCAGCGUUGGCUCUCAUCACACCUGACACCUUCCCCCACCUGCAUGGCCAUCUCUGUCAUCUGCUUCCUCAGAAUGGUCAUGUCACACAACUUGAUGGUGGGGGAUGGAGACCCCCAAAGGUGGACACUCAUCAGAAUGACCUCUCCCCAUUCCUCAGGUGUUUCUUCUGUUUCUAUUAUUUCUGUUUGUUUUUUUUUUUAAGAGAGAGAGAGAGAGAGAGAGAGAGAAUUUUUAAUAUUUAUUUUUUAGUUCUUGGCGGACACAACAUCUUUGUUUGUAUGUGGUGCUGAGGAUCGAACCCGGGCCGCACGCAUGCCAGGCGAGCGCGCUACCGCUUGAGCCACAUCCCCAGCCCUGUUUUUGUUUUGUUUUCAAUGCCACACACAACCCUACCAACACAGAACAAAAAUGUGAAGUAAUUGAUGGUUUGGCCUUUUUCUUUCUUUUUUAAAAUUUUUACUUAGGGUCCUGGGAGAGGAGGUGUUUGCACAUGACCUGAGGCGUCAGGAAGCAAGACCAGGGGCUUAGAGCAGCUCUUAUGAUGUACCGGGCUGCAGGAAUCCCUGGUUGACCUCUGCAGCCAGAGGGCUCUGCUCACACAGGUGUCUAUUGUGUCCACCUCUAAGUCAGGACACACCCCUUGCUUUGCAUCUGGGAGGCUUUCCACCCACUUUCUGUGGCCACCAAAGCUUCCAUCACAAUGCAAGUUGACAGGGCCAGUCUUGACACUUGCCUCCUUGCUUUCUAAUGUUGGUAUUAGCAGUACUCGGGAUUGAACCCAGAGCUGCUCGACCACUGAGCCACAUCCUCAGCUCUUUUCUGGUGUUUUAAAUUUUGAGACAGGGUCUUGCUAAGUUGCCCAGGCUGAACUUGUGAAUUUGUGAUCCUCCUGCCUCAGCCUCGGAGUCGCUGGGCUCACAGGCAUGUGCCGGGGCUGGGCUUGCUUUCUGACUUUUGUGUUUAGAGCUAUUAUUGGUUUUGAAUGUUUCUUUGUCAGUUACCUAUAAUUUUAAAAAAUAAAAUCCCCUUCAAAGACGUCAGUGUAGGGAACAAACACGUGGGAAAUAAUCAUCCCUCACCAUCUAGAAGGUGAGACAAACCCAGGCAGGUGUGCCCAGCAUGUCCUUAUGGUGGGCAGGGAGAGAUGGCACCAUGGGCCAGACACAGGGGGCCGGGAGACCCCUGCGGCCGGUCCUGCUCCCUCUGGGCGCUCAUGGUUGAUCAUUUCCACGAGUCCUAGGUGUUCCCAAUGCGGGAGCCACAGCACUGUGCCGUGAACACCUUGGCAGUACACUGUGACAAAGGGGGAGGAAGCCGGAGACAAUGUCUGUCUGAAAAAGCUACCGCUGGCUGUUGGGGUCCAGCAAGCCGCCACCCGAGGCCACAGGGUGCCACCUGGCGGCCGCCCCGGGAAGCGCUUCCGCAGACGAAGCGGCUCAGGCCGGCAGGCCCGGGGUGGGCGCGCGGCGCGGGUGGGGAGGCCCCGCAGGCAAGGGGGCAGGCUUGGUGGGGGGGAGCAGGCUUGGUGGGGGCAGGUUUAGGGGACAGGUGGGUCGGAGGACAGCCUUAAGGGUCAGGCUCAGGGGGCAAGCUGAAUGGGGGCGGGCUGGGGGCAGGUUCAGGUGGGCAGGCUGGGGGUCUUACCGCCCAGGACUAAGUGCCGGGGAGCCUGGGCAGGGGCUCAGCUCCCCAAGUUCGCCCCAGGGUCCUCGGGGGAGCACUGUGCAAGGACGCUGGGUCCUGGCCUGGUCCAGGCAUCCGCGGGGAGACCCUGGUGUCAAUCCAGCAGCGGGAGAGGGUGCGGCAGUGGCCUGUGCUUCGGUCCUGGCCGCCCCCGACCGUCGCAGCAGGUCCGCGACAUCCUACUUUGCAGGGGCACACGCUCAGAGAACUCGGAGGACCACCUGUGGGAUGUGGGAGGAAGGCGCCCGUCUGCACGUGGGCCGCGCGCCACAGUCCUUCCAGGAGGGGCUGCGCCGCAGGUCACACCCGGUGUCACAGUGUUGCCCCGUCUGUGCUAGUUCAGCCUUCGAAUGACCGUGGCUUUUCAAGUGGGGCCUGCGAACCGCCCUCGCCGUCCCGGAAAGCCCCGUCGGGUCAGCUGAGCGCCUGCCUCGGUUCUAGCCGACGCCCUGCCCCGCGGGGCAGCCAGGCAGGUCUGGGGACCUUUCCGCAGCACACCUGGAGGAGGGAGGCGGCCACCGCCACCUAGUGGUGAGAGGAAGCUGGGGACGUACGGCGCACACAACAAAGAGUCUCGUCUUGCUGCUCCGCCAGUGUUCAGGGACGUCUCCAGAGCCCCUGUUAGGCGACACCGCAUUUAUCCGUGUUUCUCUGGCCAAGCGGCACAGAACUCCAGACCGCAUCUGACCACCUGCACAUCAGGCUGUGGACGCUGGAUGUCAGUCCCGCGCUCCGUGGCCGGAGUGUCCUGGGUCAGGGUUUAUGCACACAAUGAAAUAAAAGCUGUGUAUUGCCUAGAAAAACAGGUAUCUACACACACACACACACACACACACACACAACAGUAAAAUGAAUAGCUCCUAUUGAGUGAACUCAAUUUUAAAUGAUUACUAUAUGUAGAUUCUUUUAAUCAUUCCUCUUAACAAAGACAGAAGCCCUCCAGAGCACACAGAGAAACAAGAUUCCUGUCGAGUCAAAUAGGGAGGCCUGGGAAGCUUUGUCCUGUUGACAUUCGAGAUCAUUUUUCAGGAGCUCAGGUUACUCCCUUGAAGAUUUUUAGGAAGUUUCAUGAUAUGGAGACAUUGUUGAGACAUUGGCUGCUUGACUUCUGCUAGGCAAUCAGAUGCAGAGAUCAAAUCCGGUCCUGCCCACUUAGACCGCUUAGAGGAUUUCUGGUUAUCUCCGGCAAAAUGAGUUUGCAACUUUAACCCAGACUCCUAAGAGAAGUCAGACGGCUUUAGCUGCUUUUGUGUGUUUUUUUUACAAAGGGUCUCAGGAAGCCCGUCCGAAGGCGCAGCUUGCUCUUCAAUAUCUGACCCAUGCCGCAUUCAGAAAUAUCAGAUGAUUGAAGGAGCAAGAAAAACUGUUUUCCUUUUAUAAACUCUAAGGAAUGUUAGGAAAUACAUUUUCUUUUUUUUUUUUUUUUUUGCUGAGAAUGGAACCCGGGGCCUUGUGCACGCUAAGCCGGAGGCCCCACUGAGCUACACCCCGAGAUCCAAUAUGACCUCCUUCAUCAGACCCUUAGAUCUUUCCUUUAGAAUGUGAAAUUCUAAAAAUCAAUCAUGGGCCACCCUCGCCCUGUCCUGAAUUUUAAGUGUUUGCUUAAGAUACGGAGACUUAUCGAAAUGAAGCGUGCGUAGCCAUGCUGCCCAGGGGCCUGGGCACGUCUGCUCAUUUGCAGUGAACACUUGGAGGGGUGUGUUCGCCUGUGGGCUCAGGCCUUGGGAUAGCCUCCCAUUUCUGUGUUAAGUGUUCAUUCCUGGGGAAAGGAGUGUCUGGCAAAUAGGAAUAUAUUAUAAAUCACAUUUUUAGUGAGAAUGACAGAGCUCAGUAACCCUUGCCUUGGGGAACCUCUCCAAUUUGUCAGUUAGAGCUCAGCCUCCUGACGUGCAACGAGCCCGUGCCUGUCCUGGAGGGCGGGUUCCCCGUGGAGAGGGCCUGUUUGGGAGCUGUUGACGACGCAGGGCACCGUGGGAACACGGACUGGAAUGCGGAGACCCCGUGCAGAGGCCUGGUGUCAUUUCCUCCGCUGACCACCUGCCUCUGAGUCACGCACACACCCAGGGACUUUCUCAGACCCCCAUGGGCACGCGGAUGAGCCUGAGAAAACACAGGUCUCCCAUGCAGGGGGGUUUGCUGCUCAAAAUCAUAACCCUGCUUGGAAUCUGUUCCUUUUAUGAAGAGGACACUGGACUAUCUUAAAUAAAACCAUAAGCCAAAGCAACAAGCAUCUCAAGGGGAGGGGGUCACGGCACCUCCGCACACAUGGGUCCUCAAGGCCUUCUGGGAUGGGAGGAAGGGGUGACAGUUCUGAAAUGUCUACAGCUUGAGAAGGCGCCAGGUCUGGGUUCACUGAAGGGCCUAGGAGUCACCCAGCGAAUGGGGGACUCUAUUCUUCCCAAUGAUGGACUUUGCAGAGCAGAGAGGGGCAGCCACAAGGCCCAUACCACAAACUCCUGUGUUCCUGCGUUGUCCCAGUCAAGUGACCUCCACCCCUAAAUAUGGUGGCCCAGCCCCACCCAGCCUUGUCUUCCAGCACUGACCCUGGACCAAGGCCCUGCAUCUGCAGACCACCUGCUCCAGAACUCCGCCCCAGCAGUGUUGGCGGAAGCUCUGAGCCCCACCCUGGCCCUUCCGGUUGGAGCCCUGGGGGACGGGCCUGAGGAUCUGCACUUGGCCAUUGCCGUCUCUCAGAGCAAGCAGUGGGGGUGGCCCAGUUGUGCCUUCCAGGCCUUUGCCUUGCCCAGGGAUGGACAGGCCACAUGGCUGACCCUGUUCUAGGGGACAGCAUCCCACAGGAAUCAGAAUCCCCGGGCCAUUGUCCCUUGUGCCUCCUGGUGGCCCUGGCACCUGGUGCUGCUCCAGCCUGUUCACUGCAUGUGGCUGAGGGAGGCGCAGGACUGAGAGGGGUGAAGGCCACCAGAGGAUGUCAGUUCCGGGUCCUGCCUGACUCUCUGAAACCCAGAAUGCUGCCGGGGGCUGUCUCUGCCUCUCUAAGGGCGGGUGGGCGGCCCUCUGGUGGCUUCCCCCCCACCUAUUUCAGUCCCGGAGAGUGCACACAAGUAAGUAGGCCCCAUGUUCUCGUCUCCUCAGAGCUGUGUGGCUGCUACAAAUGCAAAGUGCCCAGCUAGCCGCACAGGCCACCCACGGUCCCCCUUCUGGGGAUUUCCUCGGAGACGCAGGAUCAGAUCUCGAGGUUUCUCCUCGCCCACCUGCCUGCCAGACCCGCAAGGGCCAGCUGCAGGGUAGGGAGCCUCCAGCUCUUUCCUGCCGCUGUCCUGCAGCCCUGACCUGACCCUCAGAGCCCCACACCUCAAAGGGUUUGCCCCGGGCUUCUUGGGCCUCCUUCCAUUCUUUAAACCCACCUCAAAAGCCCCCUCUUUCAGGAAGCUCCCUGCCCCUUCUCCUGUGUCAGAGCUGACUGUCCAGUGGCUUCUGCUGUCACAUCCCUCUGGCUUCACUGCCACACAGCCAUGGUUUCACCCACCUCCCUUCAUAGGAGCGCCUUCCUGAAGGGCUGAAAUUAGUCAAUCAACAAACACUCACUAUGUUCCCCCCUGGUUGGCACUGCACUGCGUCCCACAUCUCUGAGCAAGCUCCCCUGGAGGAGAGGGGUCCGGUGGAAAUGAUUUGUCCUGCUGGGCCUACAUGAAGAGGUGGACCAGACGAGACCAGAGGCCUUGUCUAGGGUUCUGUGGGGCUUGGAAGGUGCCAGAUCUGGAGUGGACAGAAGGUGAAUGAGUUGCCGCCACACUGUAGUCUCUCCACCACUCUCUGCUUCCGUCGCUAUUAAUACCAGCGGUGCACCCAAAACCAAGGUGGUGCUCUCAGCAGCCCUUCAAGGUAGGUUCUGUGAAUGCGUGGAGGAGGAAACCAGGCACAGAGAGGUUGAGCAGGUGUUAGAGGUCACACAGCUCCGGGUGUUUCCAUCACUAGAGAGCUCUCGGUCCUCAGUGCUACUCCAGGCUUGUCAUCAGAGGAGGGGGCCACUUGCAGUGAUCACGGACACACUUCAGAGCUGAGGGAGGGAGGUGGUGGUGAGAAGGGAGGGCUCUGUGAAGGUGGCCUGGAUGCAUGAGGAGGGCCUGACGGCAAGGGAAGGCCUGUUGGGAUGCCCCCCUCUCACUAACUGCUGACCUCUGUCGUGUCCCCCCAGGGCUGGUGGUGGCCAGAGGAGAAAGUGCUGACUCACUGGGGCAGCCCGGAGCAUAGGAAGCUGAACGCCCCCCCUGUCGCAGCAGCAACCCCCGCUGGGCGUCACCUUGCCCACGCUGGGCUCUUGCCCCUCUGUACACACGCCAGCUGUACCCAACGGCACCUGCAACUGGCGCUGGUCACCACCUCCUCCUCGCCCUGCCCUGCAGCGCGAGACCUGACCCCUGGGAAGGCUGUGGGCCUGGCUUCCCUCCCCUCAGCCCCGUCGGUCAAGUGCAGGGAGCUUUGCGUUUACGUCAAACUCUCCUUAAUGCACUUUCCAUUCUCGACAAAAACCACAGCCAUCAAUUAAAAAACAAAAACCAAAAACCGCGAAGCGCACUUGUGCCUCGCUUACCAUUUUCUUUGAUCCAUUAAAAUCCGGGAGGGAGCCCUUCAUGG
rnacentral:lncRNA from 1 species